rnacentral:rRNA from 1 species
CCUACGGGAGGCAGCAGUGAGGAAUAUUGGUCAAUGGACGAAAGUCUGAACCAGCCAUGCAGCGUGAAGGAAGACGGCUCUAUGAGUUGUAAACUGCUUUUGUACAAGGGUAAACCUGAACACGUGUAUUCAGCUGAAAGUACUGUACGAAUAAGGAUCGGCUAACUCCGUGCCAGCAGCCGCGGUAAUACGGAGGAUCCAAGCGUUAUCCGGAUUUAUUGGGUUUAAAGGGUGCGUAGGCGGAUUGUUAAGUUAGAUGUGAAAUUUCCGAGCUUAACUCGGGAAUUGCAUUUAAUACUGUUAGUCUAGAGUGUAGAUGAGGUAGGCGGAAUGUAUGGUGUAGCGGUGAAAUGCUUAGAGAUCAUACAGAACACCGAUUGCGAAGGCAGCUUACCAAGCUGCUUCUGACGUUGAGGCACGAAAGCGUGGGGAGCAAACAGGAUUAGAUACCCCAGUAGUC